rnacentral:rRNA from 1 species
AGUGAACGCUGGCGGUAGGCCUAACACAUGCAAGUCGAACGGCAGCACAGUAAGAGCUUGCUCUUACGGGUGGCGAGUGGCGGACGGGUGAGGAAUACAUCGGAAUCUACUUUUUCGUGGGGGAUAACGUAGGGAAACUUACGCUAAUACCGCAUACGACCUACGGGUGAAAGCAGGGGAUCUUCGGACCUUGCGCGAUUGAAUGAGCCGAUGUCGGAUUAGCUAGUUGGCGGGGUAAAGGCCCACCAAGGCGACGAUCCGUAGCUGGUCUGAGAGGAUGGUAAGCCACACUGGAACUGAGACACGGUCCAUACUCCUACGGGAGGCAGCAGUGGGGAAUAUUGGACAAUGGGCGCAAGCCUGAUCCAGCCAUACCGAGUGGGUGAAGAAGGCCUUCGGGUUGUAAAGCCCUUUUGUUGGGAAAGAAAAGCAGCAGGUUAAUACCCCGCUGUUCUGACGGUACCCAAAGAAUAAGCACCGGCUAACUUCGUG